rnacentral:rRNA from 1 species
GCAUCGAUGAAGAACGCAGCAAAGUGCGAUAAUUAAUGUGUAUUGCAGAGCUGUGAACAUUCAGUAUUUGAACGCAACAUGCACUUUCAGAUGAAUAAGCUGGGAGUAUGUCUGUUUGAGGGUAGAGUAACAAGAAUAUAUAAGGUGUGGGUGGAGUGGUGAGUGUUACAUGUGUGUUGUGUGUAAAGUGUAAUACUUGAAAUUGGAGAGGAUUGUUAUUGGAUGUAAUUGCGGGAUAGAAGAAGAGUUCUUUUGGUUGGUGGGGGGCAAUGCUAUAUAUAAUAACAGUCACUAGUAAACAACUACCUCAAAUCAGACAAGAUUACCCGCUGAACUUAAGCAUAUCAAUAAGCGGAGGA